rnacentral:rRNA from 1 species
GUCUAUAGCCAUGCCACCUUGAACAAGCCCAAUCCCGUCUGAUCUCAGAAGCUAAGCAGGGUAGUGACUGGUUAGUACUUGGAUGAGUUGGAUGAGAGACCACCUAGGAAGACCAGGUGCUGUAGGCU